AACGAACGCUGGCGGCAGGCUUAACACAUGCAAGUCGAGCGCCGUAGCAAUACGGAGCGGCGGACGGGUGCGUAACGCGUGGGAACAUACCCUUUGGUUUGGAAUAACCCAGGGAAACUUGGGCUAAUGCCGGAUACGCCCGUGGAGCGAUCUACGGGGAAAGAUUUAUCGCCAAAGGAUUGGCCCGCGUCCGAUUAGCUAGUUGGUGAGGUAACGGCUCACCAAGGCGACGAUCGGUAGCUGGUCUGAGAGGAUGAUCAGCCACACUGGGACUGAG
rnacentral:rRNA from 1 species